rnacentral:tRNA from 1 species
AUUUAUAUAAUUCAUACAAAGAAUAUUGUGUUGAAGCCACAAAAGAGGUAAAUAUACCUGUAAAUA